rnacentral:rRNA from 1 species
CAACUUUCAGCAACGGAUCUCUUGGCUCUCGCAUCGAUGAAGAACGCAGCGAAAUGCGAUAAGUAAUGUGAAUUGCAGAAUUCAGUGAAUCAUCGAAUUUUUGAACGCACCUUGCGCUCCUUGGUAUUCCGAGGAGCAUGCCUGUUUGAGUGUCAUUAA